GCGUGGCCUCGGCGGGGGUUUUCGCGGGAACAGCGUCCUCUGGCGGGCGGCCGAGGACUCACCGCCGGGUGGAGUCGCUGUAGUGCACUGGUCCGGGGGGACAGCGGCCCCUAGCGGCCGGCCUAAGACUCGCCGCCAGGUGGAGUCGCUGUAGUGGGUCUGGGGGAACAGCGACCCCUGGAGGGGGUGCAGCUCCUACCUGAGGCUCUCAGAACAGCGACCCUGGAGGUCACUAGGGACCGGGCCAUGGUCAGAGCAUCAGUGGAAGUUCUUCCAAGAACAGGAGCCUCCUGGGCUGCUGUGCACCCGCCCUGAUUCUCCCAGGGAGCCUCAAUUUGUCCAGCACCAAGCAGACCACUCGCUGUUUGGACUUCAGCAAAGAAAAUGUAGGUGGAGGUGGUGCUUCUACUCCUCCCAUGGGCGAGGCAUUCCGGAAAUCAGCAGACUCCUCGAUUACGUCCCACGUGCUUCUGCGGUUGCACAUUUUAUUUUGCAGAUAUGAAGUUAGCCGCUGUGCAUCCUGAACAGGAUUUGUCUCCUGACGAGAAUCACUUUGUUGUCAGACGUUUGGACACCGAUUUUACAAGCCUGGAGUGGAGGCCAGGUGAAGCUGGACACACUCUGCUUUGGUCAGGUCAUCGGGACCAAAAUGCUUACAUUCCUGAAAUAAAAUCUUCCUUUGCUGGCUUCAAACAGCUUGGGAAUUGUCCCACAAAUUCCUGCAGUGUAUUACUCAGUUUCUGGGUACUGUUUCUCUGUGUACUGAUAGAAGGAUGACUUCUUCCUACGCUAUGUUUUCUUGUAUAUAAAACAAGCUCCCAUAGUCCCAUCUUUGUAUCAUAGCCUGACUGACAAAUCAAAUUGGCCAUAUGAAGUCCUUGUGGAGAGAU